UGGCCGUAAUGACAGCUUGCACUGCUAUAAUGGAGUGCAGGCACAAGAUAGCUUUUGGCUGAGUGCUGGCUGCAGCCACCAACAGAUGAUUGCAACCUUUACUCCUGAGGACCACUUGAUCCGCAGACAGGGGGAAAAAAAAAAAAUCCGCAAGCAGUUAAUGAGUUGCCAUCCUUUCCUAGUGUUAAGGGUGUCUACAAAUUAACAGAGGCUUUUGUCAGGGCUCUCCUUUGCUCUCUCUCUCUUGCUCCCCCCUUGCCUCCUCUUGCCGCCACUUUCUCUCCUCAUCCUUGCGCCCUCCCCUCCAUCACGCCCUUCCUCCUGCUCUUCAAUUUUCUCUCUCUACCUGCCUGCUUCACGCUCCAGUAGCUCAGUGGCGGGAGCAGCGCUGUCUGGCUUUGGCUCUGAGCAGCAUUUAUUGUCAGCGCGGUUCAUGUUUAGAAUUAGCCAUUUAAUGAGAACAAAAGAAAUUAAUUGGUGGUUUAAGCCUAAUGAGACGUCUGUGAAAUUAACAGGCCUCAUCAAUUGAAACAAAUAAAAUCCUCCAGC
ensembl:lncRNA